rnacentral:tRNA from 1 species
GACUCUGUGGCUCAGUUGGUUAGAGCCCUGCACCGGAAUCGCAGGAAGCAGGUUCGACUCCUGCCAGAGUCC